CCCCAUUUCGCCGAAACGCAUGUGGAUCGGAGCAAGAUUAAUUUCGAGUGCAUCGGCCAUCAUCCUCCCCAUCAUCAAGGCAGAAGGAGUUAGGCAGAUGUUCUUCCCGGCGACUCUUCCGGCAUAUUACAGAGCUCCUCCUGCCUCCUGCUAAAUCAAAGCGGCCGGCCGGCUGGCGGGGAUAUAUGCUUCCAUUCAACAAACAUAUUAUUGUAUCUCUAAUUUGUCUCUCUUUCUCCCCUUUUGUUCAUUAACUUCAAGUAAAUAUUGCGCACAACAUUUAUAGAUUCCUGUCUUAUGUACUCUCCAGCAUCAAUCUUUUACAGAUUACUAUGGCGAUGUAAUGUGAACUGUCAAUUACUUCC